rnacentral:rRNA from 1 species
UACGUAGGGGGCGAGCGUUGUCCGGAAUCAUUGGGCGUAAAGCGCGUGUAGGCGGUCCGGUAAGUCCGCUGUGAAAGUCGGGGGCUCAACCCUCGGAUGCCGGUGGAUACUGUCGGGCUUGAGUACGGAAGAGGCGAGUGGAAUUCCUGGUGUAGCGGUGAAAUGCGCAGAUAUCAGGAGGAACACCAAUUGCGAAGGCAGCUCGCUGGGACGUUACUGACGCUGAGGCGCGAAAGCCAGGGGAGCGAACGGG